UGGGGAAUAUUGGACAAUGGGCGCAAGCCUGAUCCAGCCAUGCCGCGUGAGUGAUGAAGGCCCUAGGGUUGUAAAGCUCUUUCACCGGUGAAGAUAAUGACGGUAACCGGAGAAGAAGCCCCGGCUAACUUCGUGCCAGCAGCCGCGGUAAUACGAAGGGGGCUAGCGUUGUUCGGAUUUACUGGGCGUAAAGCGCACGUAGGCGGACUAUUAAGUCAGGGGUGAAAUCCCGGGGCUCAACCCCGGAACUGCCUUUGAUACUGGUAGUCUUGAGUUCGAGAGAGGUGAGUGGAAUUCCGAGUGUAGAGGUGAAAUUCGUAGAUAUUCGGAGGAACACCAGUGGCGAAAGCGGCUCACUGGCUCGAUACUGACGCUGAGGUGCGAAAGAGUGGGGAGCAAACAGG
rnacentral:rRNA from 1 species